AGCCCUGCAAUUUCCACAUGGGCGGGUGAUUUCAGAACGAUGGACAGAGCUGUUCGGCCAGCCUACAGGGAAGAAAGAAAAGGAGAAACAAUUUUAUCGUGUCUGCCUCCUGCCCCAGAGAAGGAUGAGGAUACUGAAGGUCGGUGAAGCUUCAUAAACUGCCUGAGUGAAGAUGAAAUGAGACCAGAACUCAGGUAAUCAACUGUGGCUUCUCAAAGAGUAUCUUCACAGAGGACUGCAAAAAGGACAAACCAAAUGCCUCAAGACCAUUUGGGAGCCUGCUGACAUGGUCAAGGUAAGAGAAGCUAAAGGCUGACAUGGUCAAGGUAAGAGAAAGGAAUGAAGGGAAAGGGACAAGUUAAAGAAAAAGGGUGCAGUUGAUGGUGCUACCUGGGGUAGCUUCUGGGGGGCUGCUUUCUCCCCACAUGUGAUGACAUAUUGGGCCUGAGUUCUUCCCAC